AGGACAAACGCUGGCGGCGUGCCUAAGACAUGCAAGUCGGACGGGGGGCUUUGGCCCCUAGUGGCGGACGGGUGAGGAACGCGUGGGCAAUCUGCCCUACAGGUGGGGGGUAGCCUUCGGAAACGGAGGGUAAUUCCGCAUGUGCUCGCUUGCCGGUGGGGCGAGUGAGGAAAGGGACGGCAACGUCUCGCCUGAGGAGGAGCCUGCGGCCGAUUAGCUCGUUGGUGGGGUCACGGCUCACCAAGGCGAUGAUCGGUAGCUGGUCUGAGAGGACGGCCAGCCACAUGGGGACUGAGACACGGCCCCAACUCCUACGGGAGGCAGCAGCAAGGAAUUUUCCGCAAUGGGGGAAACCCUGACGGAGCAACGCCGCGUGCGGGAUGACGCCUUUCGGGGUGUAAACCGCUUUUCUUGGGGACGACGAGCGACGGUACCCGAGGAAGAAGGACCGGCUAACUACGUGCCAGCAGCCGC
rnacentral:rRNA from 1 species